rnacentral:rRNA from 1 species
UCGAGGAUCUUCGGCAAUGGGCGCAAGCCUGACCGAGCGACGCCGCGUGCGCGAUGAAGGCCUUCGGGUUGUAAAGCGCUGUCGAGGGGGAGGAAAGCCGCAAGGUCUGACCUAUCCCUGGAGGAAGCACGGGCUAAGUUCGUGCCAGCAGCCGCGGUAAGACGAACCGUGCGAACGUUGUUCGGAAUCACUGGGCUUAAAGGGCGCGUAGGCGGUCGUUCAAGUCUCGGGUGAAAUCUUUCGGCCCAACCGGAAAAGGGCCCGGGAUACUGAGCGACUCGAGGGGGAUAGGGGCGGACGGAACUUCCGGUGGAGCGGUGAAAUGCGUUGAUAUCGGAAGGAACGCCGGUGGCGAAAGCGGUCCGCUGGACCCCUACUGACGCUGAGGCGCGAAAGCCAGGGGAGCGAACGGGAUUAGAUACCCCCGUAGUCC